rnacentral:rRNA from 1 species
UAAGCGGAGGAAAAGAAACUAACAAGGAUUCCCCUAGUAACUGCGAGUGAAGCGGGAAAAGCUCAAAUUUAAAAUCUGGUGGUCUUUGGCCACUCGAGUUGUAAUUUAGAGAAGCGUCUUCCGCGCUGGACCGUGCACAAGUCUCCUGGAACGGAGCGUCAUAGAGGGUGAGAAUCCCGUCUUUGGCACGGAAACCCCAGGGCUUUUGUGAUGCGCUCUCGAAGAGUCGAGUUGUUUGGGAAUGCAGCUCAAAAUGGGUGGUGAACUCCAUCUAAAGCUAAAUAUUGGCGAGAGACCGAUAGCGAACAAGUACCGUGAGGGAAAGAUGAAAAGCACUUUGGAAAGAGAGUGAAACAGUACGUGAAAUUGUUGAAAGGGAAACGCUUGAAGUCAGUCGCGUCGACCGAGACUCAGCCUUGCCCUUGGCUUGGUGUACUUCUCGGCUGACGGGUCAGCAUCAAUUUUGCCCCUUGGAUAAUGGCGAGGGAAAUGUGACACCUUUACGGUGUGUUAUAGUCUCUUGUCGCAUGCAAGGGUUGGGAUUGAGGAACUCAGCACGCACCUUUGGGUGUCGGGGCUUUGCCCACGAUACGUGCUUAGGAUGUUGGCGUAAUGGCUUUAAACGACCCGUCUUGAAACACGGACCAAGGAGUCUAACAUGCCUGCGAGUUGUUCGGGUGGAAAACUCUGCGCGCAAUUGAAAGUUGAAAGUUGGGACCUCUGUCGUGGA